CUCCCUCCUCCCUCCUCCUUUUGCCGUCGGCUGGGGCGCGGCGCGGCAGCGUCGACGCGCAUGCUGUGGCCAGUGCGCGCGUUCUCCGAGGGGAGCACGCCGCCGUCGAGUGGCUUCGUGGCAGGACCUAGCCGGCACGCCCCCGUUCGCCCUUUCCUCCUCCCUCUCGACGCCGGCCAGCGGCGCUCGGCCCACGCGGCGAUGGGCCGACGACGACGUCCUCGCCGCUCCCUCUCUAACGACAGAGGUGUUUAAGUGAAUGCUCAGUUGUUAGUCCAGCACUCCAACUUCCGUUGCAGUCAUGUCGCGAUCCAGUUCCGGCACAUUGUCUCGGGUGGCGGCGUGGUUCCAUCGCCAAAUGAUCAGAAUCAUAUAUCAUUGAGUUGGCUCAAUCUCUGCUGCCAUUCCAAAUUUCCAAUUCAUUUCUUUUGUUUGUGCAAUUUGGUUGUGACUCAAACGAUCAACUACUAAAAUUCUUAUAUUGUUUGGACAUACUAUAUUUUGCCCAGUGGGUGUUUGAAUAAAUGCCACUAAAACAAUCUAGAGCUCUCAGCAUGCAUCCAUGUAGUCACACCCUUUAGUUUCAUACUUCGAUUGUCUAAUAGGUUUC